rnacentral:rRNA from 1 species
CUGCAGUAUCCUGACUGUGCGAAGGUAGCAUAAUAAUUUGCCUUCUAAUUAGAGGAUGGAAUGAAUGGUUAGACGAAGAUAAGACUGUCUCAUAUAUAUUUAUUAAAAGUUAAUUUUUAGGUUAAAAAGCCUAAAUUGGAUUAAAGGACGAGAAGACCCUAUUAAGCUUAAAAAAUACUAUAACUGUUAUUAUGUUAUUAAAUGUAAUGUUAAUGCUGAUAUUUUAGUUGGGGCGACUUGGGAGCAUAAAAAACCUCCUUUGAAUUGAGUAAAAUUUGAUUUAUGGUCCAGAGAAUUUUGAGGGAAAAACAAGUUACUAUAGGGAUAACAGCGUAAUUUUAUUUGAGAGUUCUAAUCGAAAGUGAAGUUUGCGACCUCGAUGUUGGAUUAAGAGGUAGUAAAGGUUGUAGAAGCUUUUAUAAUUAGUCUGUUCGACUAUUAAUAUCUUACAUGAUCUGAGUUCAAACCGGA